rnacentral:rRNA from 1 species
UACGGGGGGGGGUAAGCGUUGUUCGGAAUUACUGGGCGUAAAGGGCGCGUAGGCGGUCUACUAAGUUGGAUGUGAAAACUCUGGGCUUAACCCAGAGCCUGCAUUCAAAACUGAUAGGCUGGAGUUCUGGAGGGGAUAGCGGAAUUCCUGGUGUAGCGGUGAAAUGCGCAGAUAUCGGGAAGAACACCCGUGGCUAAGGCGGCUCACUGGGCUGACCUUGACGCUGAGGCGCGAAGGCGUGGGGGAGCGAACGGGG